GAGAGAGAGAGAGAGAGAGAGAGAGAGAGAGAGAGAGAGAGAGAGAGAGAGAGAGAGAGAGAGAGAGAGAGAUGUAUUUUGGGGGAAGAAGCGAGGGGGAAGCUCUGGCCACCGCUCGCGCGUGCACCGGGUCAUUGCUAGAAGGAACGACUGGUAGCCGCCGAGAGUAGUGCAGCUCGCUGCUCGCACCGUCACCAUGUAUCGUUCAGCCGCUGGGAGGAGCUGCAGGUGAAUACCCCUUUAUACCAUUCAGUACUGACAUGUUUCUUUUUUCAUAGUUAAAUGCAUUGGACUAUUAUCUUAUAGUAGUUUCUGCAGUUUGAUAGCUUAAAUCUAUAUCAUGUAAUGGCCGUGAGAAGUUUCUUUUGUCCAUUUAUCCAUUCAGUUAAAUGGAUAAGGCCGUUGGAGUAUCUUAUAAUCAUGCUCGAUGGCUGAUGCUUCCCCACGGCCCGGCGCGCCGUUGUGGAACAGGACUGGCAAUGUCAGUGCUGAUGUGUGUUAUGGUGGCAGAGGCCAGCCAUAGGAGCUUCACUGUGACUCUAGGAUCACAUGAGUGUUGAGAAUCGGUGUGGCAGCGAGUUUGGUGACCACCCGCGUGGGAACUUUGCUGGCCAUGUAUUUUCACUCCACGGGUGAUGUUUCGGUUGUGUAAUAUUGGCUUGAAUGAUAACUGAAAAUGAGUCAUCGACCGUGUUGGAGGGCACUGCCCUGCAAGUCGUGUUCGUUAUAUGUGGUCUGCUGGAGCAGGGUUACAACCAUUGGCAGAGCAGCGAGGCGGAGUUGCCGCCGCUGGAGUCGACCGUGCCAACCGACAAGGUCACAUCUUCCUACCAGGGGUCAAGCAUACUGUAUGUAUCACUGCGGAAUAUAUUGCAUCAGAUCUGCACCACACCUCAGUUCCCCAUCAAUUGUGUCCAUACCAUCGACCAUAUCAAUAUGAGAAUACCGCUGGAUGGUGUCAGAUCCUGCAACUCUGCCGUCCCAAGGAUCUUUAAUGGCAACCAGGUGCCCACUCGCGAGUUCCAUGCCCUCUGUCGAAAGUUCCAAGAAGAACUACCCCAAGUUCAUCCUGGAGAAGGUACUGAACUGAAUGAGGACGACUGCGGUUGAAGUUUCAACCAUUCCUUGCUUUUGUCGCGCCUGUCCUGCUUGCUCUGCAUCCUGGCUUCCAUCAAGCGGUGCACAAUUCUAUUUGUCAUAGAGAACAUCAUAUACUGCAACUGCCAGUAGGAGGAGUGUGUUGUUAUGUUCCUUGCUUGGUUCGAGGUUGCUCCUUGUCCCUCUCAUCCCUUACUUCAUAUUUUAAUGAGAUUUUGAAGAUUGUAGGCCAGGGUCAUGCUGGUUAAGAGUAUUGGGCAAAUUUAAUUGGAAAUUGGUUUUCUAUUCAAAAUUCGAGCUGACAUUGGUCCUUUCAGGUCUAGACCUUCUUAGUGAUCUUCUGUCUCUUUAUUUGGCAAAUAGAGGAUGCUCAAUUGGCCACAGCAGGUUCAGGGGCUACCAACGCCACAACAGAACUAGAGCGAGCUGAGCACGUUUUUGUUAGAUCCUUUCUCGGUAAACUUAGCUCCUAGAUUCAAUUAGAUGACAAGGUAAUAUGUACAUUUUCCUAUCUAUAGGUACUUGAGUGAUUCAUGGCAAAGAUCUGCAAACAUACAAAAACUCUAUUUUCCCUUUUAAAUUUUCAAAUUCUAAAAAAAUCUGUAAAGGGUUGUAGGCGGUUGCAUUCGGAUGUAAC